UACGUAGGGUGCGAGCGUUAAUCGGAAUUACUGGGCGUAAAGCGUGCGCAGGCGGUUUUGUAAGCCAGAUGUGAAAUCCCCGGGCUUAACCUGGGAAUGGCAUUUGGGACUGCAAGGCUUGAGUGCGGCAGAGGAGACUGGAAUUCCUGGUGUAGCAGUGAAAUGCGUAGAUAUGCGGAGGAACACCGAUGGCGAAGGCGGCCAUCUGGACCGAGACUGACGCUGAGGCGCGAAAGCGUGGGGAGCAAACAGG
rnacentral:rRNA from 1 species